UCGUCCAUGAAAAUCACUAAACAUCUCGAUUCCAACUUCUUCUUUCUAACGCUGUCAUUUAAAAGCAUAAAAAUCUUCUUAAGCUAGAGCAUAAUACUUCUUCUCUCCAAUGAGAAUCUAUUUCAUGAUAACUCAAUUUCAUCUUCUGCUUUCUUAUUCAAUUUCUAAUUUGAUUUAAAGCAUAUUAUGCUUUCUUCUCCGAUGAGAAUCGAUUCACAUUGUCGUGUGUUGAUUUCUUCUGGUAAGAGCAUGAUCUACUUUGAGUUGCUAGGUAACAAAUUUGAUCAGAAGAAACGGAAGUAAUAAACGCAUCUUUGCUACAUCUUCUCCGACUUGAGAAUUGAGAGAUGGAUGAUAAACUCCGAUUUGUUAGCCUCUUUUUGUAUUAGUUCUCAGUCACUCACGUCGUCCUCAAUGCUUGUGUUAAACUUCAAUAAUCCUCUGUCUAUUCAUUCUCAUUUCCUAGAUUUUUUUCUAAUAUGUUUGUGUAGCAAUUCUUAGUACAAUAGAUUGAUCUAGGAAUAAUAGAUAUGAUGCGAUUUGUUUAAAAUUAUUUUCGUAUGUUACAAUUGAGAUUCUUUAAGUGUUUAUGAUUAGGGUAUAUUCAAAAACUGGGUUUACAAGAAGAGAAAAUUGGGUUCCAAGUAGCCUCAUUGGUAUUGAUUUGGGUCUUUAUUGCUUAUCUGUUCACAUUAAAAGAGUAACUAACAUUUCGAAUGCUGGUCCAUUGUCAUUUUUCUUAAUUGUUAACUGCAUAUGUGUGUUUAACACUUGACUUGUCUUUACAUGUUGGUCCUAUUUCUCUGGCUAUUUUCCCUCCAAAAACAAAUAAUUUCUAACUUAUGCUUAUAUUCUUGUCCUUAUACAGCAUUAACGUGAGAACAUGAUGAUGUGGGUAUUUGGCUAUGGCUCUCUUGUGUGGAUCCCAUGAUUUCACUACGAUGAGAAUGUGUUAGGUUUCAUCAAGGGAUAUAAACGUGUUUAUGAUUUUGGUGGGUUCCAAGAUGUUCUUAGGGGUCACUGCAUCAGUGACAAGCUGGGGUGCAGAUGAGACUUGCUGCCCUAUAAAUAAUAGGAAUGGCGAACUAGAACCUCAUCCUUUAAAGGUUUGGUGUAUAUUUGCCCUAUUUGUAAAGACCCUGACCUUGCGUCAGAAAAACUGGAAACCGGUUCUACGCCGUAACGGAAGCGUGUGCCCAAUCACUAAAUCGAUCUUUAGUCAAUAGGAGCCCUACUUCCCUCGACCUCAUCACUUUAAUUGUUGCGCAAGUCUAAUCUUGGAGGACUUCCCAAUACUUGCCAAGGUCUUUACUACUGCAAUGUUGUAAGUGGAGUCAUUAGAGGAGCUUUGAAAAUGGUUUUGAUGACAUGGAUGUGUAAUGUUCUUCGAGGGGAUGAUGUUACAGGAGAAGCUACUGAAACAAGUCUUCCAGCUAUUUAGAUGAAGAAUUCGUUGAUAUAUGUGUCUAAGAAAAACAA